AUCCAAAAAUUUUCCAAAUCAAAUGAUUCAAGACCUGAACUGAAAGAGACUCUACAAAUAAAGCUUUCCGACUCGGCCUUGAGAUGCUUGUAUCCUUUGGAUUAUUGGGACCUAACGAGCCAUGAGAGCCUAUACCGAAGGAGAGAAAUUCACACCCUUCCGAUUUCUAGGGCUCGCGUUGCUCGAAUGUUAUUGCCCUUGCCCCGACGCCAGCUUGCUCUCUCAUCCCUCCCACCUUUGCCUAUACCUAGGAUUCCAUUUGGUUCGGCUGUAGCUUCAUAGAUCUACAUGGGAAUCUUCGUCAGAUAGAUCAUGCAGUUACGACCAAUCAAGCAGAGAUCGAUUGGCCUACUAGAGAGCUGACAUUAGAAGACUGACACCCACAGUACCAACAAAGCUGGACGACAUAAGAUCAAAAGUUCGGGAUAAUGUGAUCCAAGUCAACCUAGAGGCAAAGCAAUUCCUUGAGUUUGUGCAUCAAGUCAGUAGCAUGCUUUAAAGGGUAGAAAGCAGUAAGUUCCGUGCCGAAGGGGCAAAGAAAGGGUCAAAACUAAUUUUCGUGCCUAUAGUCACUCCUCUCUAUGGUAGCAAUCCGGUCUCCAGUCGAUGGUACUAUUUAAACGAGAAUGCCGUGUCAUCCAAUGCAGUUGACCACUGCGAUCGAUCUGAUAAACCAAAGCAUCCUGGCCAACCGACUAGCCAUUGAGAAUGGAACAAAUAGGGGAGAUUUAAAUCUUCUCUCUUGUCUUUCAACCCUUGCUCUUGCCUCGGCUUCGCCUUCCACCUUAUUAAGCUUUGGACUUCCACCUUCACUAACCCGUGGGACGGGACCGACCUUCUCUUUUGUUUGUAAUUGGACUUGCCCGAAACAAAGGAACCUUGGCGUGAGAACCCUCUAGAUUAGGGAGAUCCAAAUAAGAGCUUGUUGCAUAUGCGUAGGAAACCACCCCAUGCGGUGUGAGAAAAGCCCACUUGACUUCGGAAUGCCAACCUCCCUUAGCUUAGCCCUUUACGACCUUUUCCGCCUUCUCACUGCCAUUCAUCGGAUAAGACUACGUCACCUAAAUCAAGGUGUGAAACACCUUCUCACUGCCAUUCACCGGAUAAGACUACGUCACCUAAAUUGAGAAAAAAGAGGAAGACAUUUCUCAUUGUUGGCUAGCCUGGGCUCCACACCAGAUUUUAUCUGAGAUGGAGAGAAUUCUUUAGUAAAGGCAUGGCUUAAGACAAUUCGGGAUAGGAGGUUUUUCUACUACUAUUACAGCUCGUACAACCUUGAGGAAUCUAGACUAGUGUAAUAAGUUACUAGCCUCGUGCUACUCCUCCACAGAAGACUUUCUAGAAUAGCUACGACCUUUUCUCUUCAUUUUCCUUUGCCAAAUAAAUCCCACGUAUGAAGCUCUCGGAUUACGUACGAAUCAAUUAAACAAGCCAAACCAAAGGCUUUUUUCAAAAGCAUCAGUAGACGCAGAAAGAGAUCCUAUUCCCUAAGGCCUUUGUUAUCGCUUUAAACUUCCCUAUUUCCCAUAGGAAGCCCAUCUUCAAAGCUACUUUCUCAACAAGCUCUAGCUCUAGGGCUUUGUAAAAACUCUCUUCUUUAUCAUACGAUACGAGGCAUCCAAAUCUGCAUUCCCAUC
rnacentral:lncRNA from 1 species